GAAUCUUAGACAAUGGGCGCAAGCCUGAUCUAGCGAUGCCGCGUGAGUGAUGAAGGCCUUAGGGUCGUAAAGCUCUUUCGCCAGGGAUGAUAAUGACAGUACCUGGUAAAGAAACCCCGGCUAACUCCGUGCCAGCAGCCGCGGUAAUACGGAGGGGGUUAGCGUUGUUCGGAAUUACUGGGCGUAAAGCGAACGUAGGCGGCAAUUCAAGUCAGGGGUGAAAGCCCGGGGCUCAACCCCGGAACUGCCUUUGAAACUAGAUUGCUAGAAUCCUGGAGAGGCGAGUGGAAUUCCGAGUGUAGAGGUGAAAUUCGUAGAUAUUCGGAAGAACACCAGUGGCGAAGGCGACUCGCUGGACAGGUAUUGACGCUGAGGUGCGAAAGCGUGGGGAGCAAACAGG
rnacentral:rRNA from 1 species